rnacentral:tRNA from 1 species
UCUAAUAUGGCAGAUUAGUGCCAUGGAUUUAAGCUCCAUAAAUAAAGAUUCUUCUUUUGUUAGAA